CCGGGCUGGACGCCGAGACCCGGGCCCGCUUUACACAAUCGCCCCGCCGCGCGAAGCGAAACGGGUGGAACGCAGACUGCCGAAGCUCACUGACUCCUUUGAGGGAGCGAAUUCUUUCAGCUACGCGGGGUUAGAGCGGUAGGAGUGCCCGCUGCCCGACCCCAGGCUUUCUGGUAAAUGUCUGUUUCCACCAAGUGAGUUCGGACAGCAACACCUGGGGCUCCCAAAGCGGAAGCCGUCAGCACUGGCGAUUUGGAGCUGCG
rnacentral:lncRNA from 1 species